rnacentral:rRNA from 1 species
CCCCUACGGGAGGCAGCAGUGGGGAAUAUUGCACAAUGGGGGGAACCCUGAUGCAGCGACGCCGCGUGGGUGAAGGAGUACUUCGGUACGUAAAGCCCUAUCAGCAGGAAAGAAAAUGGCGGUACCUGACUAAGAAGCCCCGGCUAACUACGUGCCAGCAGCCGCGGUAAUACGUAGGGGGCAAGCGUUAUCCGGAUUUACUGGGUGUAAAGGGAGCGUAGACGGUUACGCAAGUCUGGAGUGAAAGGCGGGGGCCCAACCCCCGGACUGCUUUGGAAAAUGUAUAACUGG